GAGAGAGAAAUUCCAGAGAAGGCUCUGAGCCCUGAGGUUGUCUCCUCCUCCUUUGAAUGCCAGUGCAGAGGAGGGAGGGAGGCUCCUUCCUCUGUGAGCUGGAGACUGGUGAGGUGAUGCAGAAUAGAAAUGGGGGCAACAACAGCCAGAGGUGGAUUCUCCUGGGAGCCGUGGUAGCAAUCUCUCAGAUCAAUAUGGCCUCUCCUCUUAGGGAUGCUUUGGGAACCCAAACCCAAUGAGACAAGCCCCAUGACAGCUCAAGCAGGCCUCAGACUUACAGCCCUCCCGAGCUCCUCUCCUGAGUGCUGGGAUUACUGGUGCGGCCUGCCAUGUUCACUUAAACAGCAGCAACAACAAAGAAGCAAAAACCCCAAAAGACCUGAGGACGACGAUGACAACAACAACAACAACAACAACAACAACACAACAACAACAACAACAACAACACAACAACAAGGCACUGGAACAAAAAUGUGUCUUAGAGAAAGUGUGUGCUCUGGUCCCUGUUUAUGGACUGAUUCUGUCUCUGUCUCUGUCUCUGUCUCUAUUUGUCUCUCUCUGUCUCUGUCUGUCUCUGUCUCUGUCUGUCUCUCUGUCUCUCUGUCUCUCACUGUCUCUCUCUGUCUCUGUCUCUGUCUGUCUGUCUGUCUCUGGCUCUAUCUCUCUCUUUCUCUCUCUCUCUCUCUCUCUCUCUCUCUCUCUCUGUGUGUGUGUGUGUGUGUGUGUGUGUGUGUGUGUGUGUUGGGAGGGGGCUCAAGAUGGAGGGUAAUUCCAUCCUUUGCAGACCAUAUAUAACACACAAGUAGUAGACAGUGAAUGAAAGUGGACUAAAGAGACGGCUUCCAAGUCAAGUCCCUUGUUGUUAUCCACCCCUCCGCCCCCAUCUCUGCCCCAGGUAGUGAUGGUGCUACCAGUCAGCACUCUGAGGUCCUCUGGCUCUGCCUGAAUAGAACUCCUUGGAAGGCAAGGAGUUCUUCCAGUGUGGGUCUUUAGUAGCUUCCAGGGCUCUCAGCAUUGGUCGGCAGGUUGGCAGCGGUGGUAGCAGGCAGAAAAACAGCAAGUGGAAUCUUCCAGACUACAGCUCUCCUCAGGACUCCAGGACUAGGCCCUGAGCUCCACAGGUAUUACAGCCCUUGUGCCAAGCCAUGGGUCCCUUAUCCUUUGACAGCGGCAGGCAGCCUCCUGCCCUCCAGGCUGGCGAAAGCAUCAAGAUUCCUCAGGUGUUGACAGAGGUUAGGGUUGUACUUCUUGGCCUUGGGUAUCUGAGACCCUUGAUGCUUACAAGCUUAACAGCUCUUUGGAACCCUUCCAGUGACCAGGGCCUGUAGUGUUUUCUCUGAGCCUUCCGCCCCAGCUCUCUGUCUUCCCUAUUUCCAACACCCCCCCUCCCCGUUUUCUGCACUAGCUGGUCUCUCACACUAUUCAACUGUCUUUUCUUCCGCUGUUAGGUCGCUCGCUCGAUGCUUUUGAGGUUCUGCCCGUUCAGCUCCGCCUUCUCUUCUGUUAAGCAGUAGCUGAUUUAGCCUGCCCGCUGCCUCAUGGCUGCCACUGCCCCGCCACUGCCCCUCGGCCGCCCCAUUUCUGCUGUCUUUGGUACUUUUCUCUUGUUCCACCAGCUCAGCCCUCACUACUAAAAUCAGACAAGCAAAGAACUGCAAGAGAAGUUUCUCACUGGGCCUAAAGUUCCAACAACCAGAGCCAGCAUGGCAGGAUGUCUCUCAGCCAAGUCACAGGGCCUAAACAGUCACACAUAUAGGCAUGGAAGGAGUGUUUGGGCCAAUCACAGAACACCUCACAUGGAAUGGGGAUUUGUGGCUUCACUGAAAACAUUAAUCCUUCAGCUAGGCCAGGAAAGGAUGUGCUCCCUUCUGGAUGAGGUGAAGAUGGUUGAUGGGUGUGAUGGUUUGUAUAUGCUUGGCUCAGGGAGAGGCACUAUUUGGAGGUGUGGCCCUGUUAGAGUGGGUGUGGCCUUGUUGGAGUAGGUGUGUCACUGUGGGCGUGGGCUUUAAGACCCUCAUCCUAGUUGCCUGGAAGCCAGUAUUCUGCUAGCAGCCUUCAGAUGAAGAUGUAGAACUCUCAGCUCCUCCUGCACCAUGCCUGCCUGGAUGCUGCCAUGAUCCCACCCUGAUGAUAAUGGACUGAAUCUCUGAACCUGGAAGCCAGCCCCAAUAAAAUAUUGUCCUUAUAAGAGUUGCUUUGGUCAUGGUGUCUGUUCACAGCAGUGAAACCCUAACUAAGACAAAGGGUCAUCUCGAGUUUACCAAGGUUAACAAUGUUUGAAACAGCUCUGGCCAACACUGGGCCUUCAGGAGUCCAAACCACCAACUGUGAUUAUUGUGCACUUUUAUCAAGGCGAAUGGAAGGGAUCCAGAAUGGCAUAAGGGUCGACUAGCUCUCCUGUUUGUUUAUUGGUUUGUAUGGGCUUUCACUGUGUGGCUCUGGCUGUCCUGGAACUUCCUAUGUAGACCAGGCUGGCCUUCAACUCACAGAGACUCUCCUGCCUUUGCUUCCUGAGAGCUGGGACUAAAGACACGCAUUACUGCUGUCCUCCCAGCUGACUGGUUUUUAGACUGAUGGCCUUUUUGCAUCAAGGGGAAACCCAACAGCUGCUAAUUAGGGAGUCAUAAUGCCCUUUCCCUUAAUAUCUUUGCUUAUUUACAAGAGAAUUGACAUCAGGAGGAGUACUUACAAUAAGGAUUAAUCACUAACACAAUAGGCGAUUUUAAGAUUAUUAAAGGUGCUUUAACAGUACUUAACAUUUGCCCAGCACCUCUGGAAGAGGUAGGCCCCCCCCUAUCUGUCUUAGUCAGAUAUUAUCCAGGAUACAUUCCCAGCCUUCCCUGGAGGGGCCUCUCUCCCCCUCCCUUGCUCAAAACCUUCUCAGCCUAUGCUGUAAGAUAACCAGACAAGAAUGGCCCAGUCCUAAAUUAGACUCUGGGUGGCAAAGCUCACUGCAGGUUUCUUUAAAGAGACAGGCUUUUUUGAAACAAAGAUGAUUGACAGCAGUGGUAGCCAUUGAGAUGUGUCCUCCUGUUUGAGGCUCUGUGAGGAAGACUUCCUCCCAUUUCUGAUGGAGACAGUAUGGAGUAGGCCAACCGGAAGUAGCUCAAGAGGGCACAGAACAGAAAGAAAAAGCUGCCUGCUUUCAUGUCUUCUUUUGUUAGAAGGUCUCUCGUGGGUUUGUAUUGGCAUAAGCCUUUUGGUCCCGUGAGCCCUUAAGCUUAGCUUAUUAAUUCCACAAGCUCUAUAUGCAGGUAACAUUGUCAUAGUGCCCCCCACCCCCCCAAGAGCUACCGGGGCAGCAUUCACUCUGUAUGAAAGUAACAUUGUCACAGUUCUUCCCUGGGAGGGCUCCUUGGGCAACAUUCAAUCUAUAUGAAAGUAACAUUGUCAUAGUGCCCCCCACCCCCCCAAGAGCUACCGGGGCAGCAUUCACUCUGUAUGAAAGUAACAUUGUCACAGUUCUUCCCUGGGAGGGCUCCUUGGGCAACAUUCAAUCUAUAUGAAAGUAACAUUGUCAUAGUCCCUCUCUGAGAAGGUUACCUCGGCAGCACUUAAUAGCUAGGGGUCCCAUGGCUUACCACCACCUGUCUCAUCUCACCCCACGUACCAUUUGGUACAGUCUUUCCAGCAUCUUCUUUCAGAGCUUUGUGCUUACCUCUCUUCUACCACAGGGCCUAUGCAUAUACCACGUAGGAGAUAAAACCACAAAGGGCAGGAGGGUUUAUGAUAUGCCCAGCAGCCACAGUCUUUCGGACUCUAUGUCUGAAAUGGUUCCAGUCUCCUUUCUGUUGCUGUGACAAACACCAUGACUAAAAGCAAUUUAGAAGAGGGAUUUCUCUCAGCUUCCGUCACUGAGGGAAGUCGGGAAAGGAAUUCCAGCAGGAGCCUGAAGCAAAGUGGAAGUGACAGAGGAAUGUUGCUUGUCGGCUAAUUGGCUUGUGUUUGCAGCCGCUAGCCCAGAACCUCCUUCCCAGAAUUGGUGCUGCUCACAGACGGCCAGGCCCGCCUAUAUCAAUGAACAGUGGAGAUGUUCCCUACAGCCACACCCACAGGCCAAUCAGUAAGACUCCCUUCUCGGGUAUUGGUAGGCUGUGUCAAGUUGACAUUUAAAGCUAAUCAGACAACGAUAAAGUGCUUUUUAUCGCUCAGGAACAGCAAGCGGCGGGCAUGAGCUAAUAUUUGAGUGAGUUCCACUGGGAUCCCCAAGCCUUAGCCAGGGGUUGCAUCGCAGCAGAAGAAAACCUCAUCUGAAGAACUUAGAUCUUUUAGAACGAGCAGCAAGCACUUGACCCUGGUGGGGAGACAUUAUCCUUGUGAAAUGCACAGCAAACAGGUUGCGUGCCGUGGCAUCGUCGGUGACAGGAAUCAUGAAACCAUUAGCCGCGCUGCUCAGGACGGGUGCACGGUGUGAGGUGCACCAGAAGUGCAGCCCAGCACUGCCCAUCUUUGGCCAAUGUAUCCACUGCAUCCCUCUCACUUCUGCUAGCUCCUCAUUUCCAGGAAAGGCAGACUCAGAAGGGGAGCUAGAGCUCACCGGGACCGAUCGAGCACUCUGUGUCACUCUCCCUGAUAAUUUCUGAUCUGUUUAUAAUUGCAGUAUGUGCCUGUGAAAGGCUACGGAUGUCCAAGUCUUUAGCUGGACUGUGAUAUUAAUAAUGCACCAGGGCCUCACCGUUCAUCCUCCUGCGGACCCGCUCCAGUGCCUGAUGCCCCUGAGUUGCUUAGCAAAGCUUGUGUGGAAUAGCCAGAGAAGCAAAUGCGUGACCCUGAAGGCAGGCACCACUCCAGACUCUAUUUUAAGUUUAGAACCUAGUCUUCUCAAAUUUUUGUGCUGCUCAUCAGUUCUGGUCACCUGUGGAUGGCUGACUCAAGAGGUACCACAAAACCAUAAAACCAAAAAAAAAAAUCACAAAACCACAGAGCCAGAGUCUUGACUUGGUUUCGAUCAUCAGAACUUUCUAGGCUCCCAUGCUACUGCGGCUCAUCCAAUCAGUGCUGACUAAGAUCAUGAAGGAUGCCUGGCAUUGUGGUACUGAGUUGGAGAAAGAGAUGCAUGGAGUUCUUCCCUCUUCACAAAGAAGCCAGCCAGACACCAACAAGAACUCCCUUUGAGGGCCUUCAGUAGGAAAACAGGCACAACGGCAUCUCUAUCCUUUGUCCUUGGGAUCACUAAGACCAGGUCCUCUGACCUGAGAUAAGGAUAUAAGCUCUCAGUGAUGGUUCCUGCCUGCCUCCCCGGCUGCCUGCGGUCAUGCUCCUCAUAGUAGGCAUGGACUUACCCUCCAAAGCUGUAAUCCCUCCAUGAGUUCUUUUUUCUCUAAGCUA